rnacentral:rRNA from 1 species
AUGAUGAUCGUGGACUUGGGCUGCUCCACUGGUCCAAAUGCGCUUGCAUUGGUAUCGAUCACCGUUGAGGCGAUCCACGCUAAUUGUCUUCAGUUCCAGCAACCACCACCGGAAGUGUGUGUGCUCCUCAACGAUCUCCCCGAGAACGACUUCAACACGGUGGUGAAGAGCCUGGUCACGCUCCGUCAAAGCAGCGAUCCUGUUGCCGUGACCGGUAUCACACCAGGCUCGUUUUACGAGCGGCUCUUCACCAGUGAAUCCUUGCAUCUUGUUUGCUCGUCCAAUAGCUUGCAUUGGCUCUCAAAGGCUCCAGAAGAUCUAACAAAAAAUCUCAUCCCAGCAUAUGACAUUGAUGAGCAUUCUAGGCAUGAAAGGCUCUUCCCAUGCAAAGAGCUGAGGGAAAUCAUCCAAGAAGAGGGCUCCUUUUCAAUCAGGGAGAUGCGGGCACAUGACCCUAGAACCGAUAUGAACAAUGCUCUCAGCACCCCAGGCAGGUUCACGAGAUUUCUUAGAGCUUUGUUUGAGCCGGUAUUGGUCCAACAUUUUGGAGAUGUCAUGGAUGAAUUCGUGAAGACCACGGAGCGGCGGUGGGUCCUAGAGGGAAGCUUGCAAGAGGAGAGGGCUAGAUGUCCUUAUGCUAUGCUGGUUGUAUCCCUUGCAAAGGCAUGA